rnacentral:rRNA from 1 species
UACGAAGGGUGCAAGCGUUACUCGGAAUUACUGGGCGUAAAGCGUGCGUAGGUGGUUAGUUAAGUCUGAUGUGAAAGCCCUGGGCUCAACCUGGGAACUGCAUUGGAAACUGGCUUACUAGAGUGCGGUAGAGGGGUGUGGAAUUCCCGGUGUAGCAGUGAAAUGCGUAGAUAUCGGGAGGAACAUCUGUGGCGAAGGCGACACCCUGGACCAGCACUGACACUGAGGCACGAAAGCGUGGGGAGCAAACAGG